GUUUCCAUAGUGUAGUGGUUAUUACGUUGGCUUUACAUGCGAAAGGUCCCCAGUUCGAAACUGGGUGGAAACA